GAUGAACGCUGGCGGCGUGCCUAAUACAUGCAAGUCGAGCGAACAGACUAGGAGCUUGCUCCUCUUACGUUAGCGGCGGACGGGUGAGUAACACGUGGAUAACCUACCUAUAAGACUGGGAUAACUUCGGGAAACCGGAGCUAAUACCGGAUAAUAUCUUUAACCGCAUGGUUCAAUAGUGAAAGACGGUUUUGCUGUCACUUAUAGAUGUAUCCGCUCCGCAUUAGCUAGUUGGUAAGGUAACGGCUUACCAAGGCGACGAUGCGUAGCCGACCUGAGAGGGUGAUCGGCCACACUGGAACUGAGAAACGGUCCAGACUCCUAAGGGAGGCAGAAGUAGGGAAUCUUCCGAAAUGGGCGAAAGCCUGACGGAGAAACGCCGCGUGAGUGAUGAAGGUCUUCGGAUCGUAAAACUCUGUUAUUAGGGAAGAACAAAUGUGUAAGUAAAUAUGCACGUCUUGACGGUACCUAAUCAGAAAGCCACGGCUAACUACGUG
rnacentral:rRNA from 1 species